rnacentral:lncRNA from 1 species
GAACCAUCCCCCCAAUUCAGCUCUAACUUAGUAAGCUUUUUUAGAGAUAAUUUUGCCUCAUGUGCAUCCACUGCGCUUUGCACUUUGCACAACCCUUCAAUGGAAAGUUCCCCACCGAGAUUAUUUAAUCCCUUAAGCUCAGUUAUAGCAAACCCACCAUCUCCUCCAAUGACAAUCUUGGUGAGAGUUUGUAGGCUUUUCAGCUCACCAAUCCCCAAGGGAAACUGUAUAAGAGAUGGAGUACCCCUAAAGUCAAAAUGCUGCAACUUUUUGAGCUUUGAGAAGCUUUUAGGCAACUUAGUCAAACUCUGACAGUUAAAAAGGAUCAGUGUUUGUAGAUUAAAAAGAUUACCAAUGUUCUCUGGUAACUCUUUGAUGUCAGUUCGAGAUAAGUUAAGAUAUCUCAAGUACGAAUAAUAGCAGACUGGACCAACCGA